CUCUCCGGGCGGGUCGGCGCCCGCCGGAGGAUAACCACACUCUGAUGUAACGACGUUUCUUCUGAGUGGUACAAGCAAAUAAUCAAAACUUUUAACAACGGAUCUCUUGGUUCUGGCAUCGAUGAAGAACGCAGCGAAAUGCGAUAAGUAAUGUGAAUUGCAGAAUUCAGUGAAUCAUCGAAUCUUUGAACGCACAUUGCGCCCGCCAGCAUUCUGGCGGGCAUGCCUGUUCGAGCGUCAUUUCAACCCUCAAGCUCUGCUUGGUGUUGGGGCCCUACAGCUGAUGUAGGCCCUCAAAGGUAGUGGCGGACCCUCCCGGAGCCUCCUUUGCGUAGUAACUUUACGUCUCGCACUGGGAUCCGGAGGGACUCUUGCCGUAAAACCCCCAAUUCUCCAAAGGUUGACCUCGGAUCAGGUAGGAAUACCCGCUGAACUUAAGCAUAUCAAUAAGCGGAG
rnacentral:rRNA from 1 species